rnacentral:rRNA from 1 species
GUGAGGAAUUUUCCGCAAUGGGCGAAAGCCUGACGGAGCAAUGCCGCGUGAAGGAUGAAGGCCUAUGGGUUGUAAACUUCUUUUCUCAGAAAAGAAUUAUGACGGUAUCUGAGGAAUAAGCAUCAGCUAACUCUGUGCCAGCAGCCGCGGUAAGACAGAGGAUGCAAGCGUUAUCCGGAAUGAUUGGGCGUAAAGCGUCUGUAGGUUGUUUAAAAAGUAUUCUGUCAAAGAUUAGGGCUUAACCCUAGAUAGGCAGAAUAAACUUUUAAGCUAGAGUUUGGUGGAGGCAGAGAGAAUUCCCGGUGGAGCGGUGAAAUGCGUAGAUAUCGGGAGGAACACCAAAGGCGAAGGCACUCUGCUGGGCCAAUACUAACACUGAGAGACGAAAGCGAGGGGAGCAAAUGGGAUUAGAAACCCGGGUAGUCC